UACGUAGGGUGCGAGCGUUGUCCGGAAUUAUUGGGCGUAAAGCGCGUUCAGGCGGUUUGGCAAGUCGGGCAUGAAAUCUCUCGGCUCAACCGGGAGAGGUUGUCCGAUACUUCCAGACUUGAGGGCAGUAGAGGGUGGUGGAAUUCCGGGUGUAGUGGUGAAAUGCGCAGAUAUCAGGAGGAACACCAAUUGCGAAGGCAGCUCGCUGGGACGUUACUGACGCUAAGGCGCGAAAGCGUGGGGAGCGAACAGG
rnacentral:rRNA from 1 species